GCGUCCGUAGCUCAGUUGGUUAGAGCACCACCUUGACAUGGUGGGGGUCGGUGGUUCGAGUACACUCGGACGCACCA
rnacentral:tRNA from 1 species